rnacentral:rRNA from 1 species
GUAGGGUCCGAGCGUUAUCCGGAAUCAUUGGGCGUAAAGAGCUCGUAGGCGGUUCAGCAAGUCGGCUGUGAAAGUUCGAGGCUCAACCUCGAAAUUGCAGUCGAUACUGCUGUGACUCGAGUCCGGUAGAGGAGAAUGGAAUUCCCGGUGUAGCGGUGAAAUGCGCAGAUAUCGGGAGGAACACCAGUAGCGAAGGCGGUUCUCUGGGCCGGCACUGACGCUGAGGAGCGAAAGCGUGGGGGGAGCAGACAGGAUUAGAUACCCUGGUAGUCCACGCCGUAAACGUUGGAUGCAGUGUGGCGGUCUACCAACGACUGCCGUGCCGAAGCUAACGCAUUAAGCAUCCCCGCCUGGGGAGUACGGCCGCAAGGCUA